ACGGGAGGCAGCAGUGGGGAAUAUUGCACAAUGGGCGGAAGCCUGAUGCAGCGACGCCGCGUGAGGGAUGACGGCCUUCGGGUUGUAAACCUCUUUCAGCCGGGACGAAGGCCUUUGGGUUGACGGUACCGGCAGAAGAAGCGCCGGCCAACUACGUGCCAGCAGCCGCGGUAAGACGUAGGGCGCGAGCGUUGUCCGGAUUUAUUGGGCGUAAAGAGCUCGUAGGCGGCUUGUCGCGUCGACUGUGAAAACCCGCGGCUCAACCGCGGGCCUGCAGCCGAUACGGGCAGGCUAGAGUUCGGUAGGGGAGACUGGAAUUCCUGGUGUAGCGGUGAAAUGCGCAGAUAUCAGGAGGAACACCGGUGGCGAAGGCGGGUCUCUGGGCCGAUACUGACGCUGAGGAGCGAAAGCGUGGGGAGCGAACAGGAUUAGAUACCCUGGUA
rnacentral:rRNA from 1 species